ensembl:lncRNA MIR99AHG mir-99a-let-7c cluster host gene
AGUAGUAGCAAAACUCAAGUGCAAGAAGCUGAGAGUCACAUGGCCCUGUUCAGCUUCUGGUCCGGUACUCCCUCCAAUAACCCUAGUUUGUCUUUUUCUCUUCAUUUUUACUGAUUUCUAUCCCACCCGUGCAUUUGUUUUGAGAUUUCAGCUCUUGUGACAUCAUCUCUGCAAAUUAUGCAUUGAGAUUUUUGAGAGAUUUCUUGAAAUUUCUGUUUAAUGAGUGGUGUUAAUGUAACAUAUAGAUUUUAAUAUCUGGAAAACUUCAUUUUUUAUCAUCCACUACUUUCUCUUAAUUAAUUUAACAUCAUUUGCCUUUCUUACUGGUCAUAGUAUAAUUCUGAGGUAAUAAGGUGGCAUUUUUAAUUUAACUAUUCAUAGAACUUCUGGGAGAAAUUUUAUGUCUAGUUCAGAAGGCAUGGCAGCAUUUUAAAUUUGAUUGUGGAGUAUUCUAACCAAAUCUUCAAGAGCCGUAACUCGAGGUGAAACCUGCCAACACUUUCUUUAGCUUGCCCAUGGUGAUGUGAAGAUGAGAAGAAAUAGCAAGGCCCAACCAGUUCUUCAUCUGGAGACAGUUCAACGUUCUGCAAACCAGAUCUUCAGGAAUUUUACUGGGAUAAUUAUCCAAAUAAAUUGCAAGCAUUCUAUCCAAAUGGAGCUCUUUCUGAGAUGAAGAGAAUUCUCAAUGUCAAGAUUUGAACAAGAAGAGAAUGGAAUACACAAUAUGGACAUCCAUAAAAAUUCAUCAGAGAGCAUUUUACUACUGAGCUGCAAAGGUAGGAAAAAUAAAUUUUUUUUGGUUAGAAAAUAUACUUCUUUCAUCUGCGUUUCAAUAAUUUAUUCCCCUUGUUAGAUAUACAUGGAAUUGAUAUUGCUUAUUCUGACUAAGUGAAAAGUGUUAUUUCUACUUACUGCUCAAUUAGAAACAUGUAGUGUUUAAUUGUCAGUUUGAAUUUUUCUUUCAUACUAUUACAGUUUAUAUUUUACUAUAGGCAGAAUUUCCUCUUUAUCCUAAAUUUUGAUAUUCUCCAUAAUUUCAUCGUGCCUUGACAUUGCUGUAUAUAAUUUCUAUACAUCAGGAAGGCAAUUCUGUGUGCAUGUGUGUGUGUAUAUAUAUAGUUAGAAGUUAGAAACUGAAACUCUUUUUUGUCUACCAUCAUUUCAUAUUUUUCUUGCUAUUUCAAACCUAUAAUUUUUAAAGAAACGACUAACGUAAUCAUUCAUAGAAUAUGCUGUCAGUAACUUAACAAUAUAAAUGUUAACAUGGAGGCAUUUAGUUCAGCAUUUGCUUUACUUAAUAGAGUGCAGAAAAUGUGGCCCUUUUCUCAGUUAGGGUGUAUGUGAAGAUAAAUUUAGAAUUUCUAGACUAGUAAAUACUUCUCUGAUAAUAACUUAAUUAUAGCUAUUUCAAACCAAAUUGUUUAAUUGUGGUGAAUCAUAUGUAAAUUGUUCAGAUGUAGGUCAACACCCACGCCCACAUUCUAGCACCUCUUUCCUAAUUCAAGACAACUUUGCAGUGCCUAAAAGAGCUGAACAGUGCAGAUUAGAGACAUAAGACAAAAAAAAAAAAAAAA